CCUACGUGAGGCAGCAGUCGAGAAUUAUUCACAAUGGGGGAAACCCUGAUGGUGCGACGCCGCGUGGGUGAAGAAGGUCCUCGGAUCGUAAAACCUUGUUUUUAGAGAAGAAAGUGCGUGAGAGUAACUGCUCACGUUUCGUCGGUAUCUAACCAGAAUGCCAUGGCUAACUACGUGCCAGCAGCCGCGGUAAUACGUAGGUAGCAAUCUUUAUCCGGAUUUAUUGGGCGUAAAGGGAACGCAGGCGGUCUUUUAAGUCUGAUGUGAAAGCCUUCGGGUUAACCGGAGUAGUGCAUGGGAAACUGGGAGACUUGAGUGCAGAAGAGGAGAGUGGAACUCCAGGUGUAGCGGUGAAAUGCGUAGAUAUAUGGAAGAACACCAGUGGCGAAAGCGGCUCUCUGGUCUGUAACUGACGCUGAGGUUCGAAAGCGUGGGUAGCAAACAGGAUUAGAUACCCUAGUAGUC
rnacentral:rRNA from 1 species